UGUGUGUGUGUGUGCGUGUGUGUGUGUGCACGUGUGUGUGCAUGAAGAAAGCAGAGAACAGAGAACAUGAACAUGAACACACACACACACACACACA
rnacentral:miRNA from 1 species